rnacentral:rRNA from 1 species
GAUCCUACGGGGCGCAGCAGUGGGGAAUAUUGGGCAAUGGGCGCAAGCCUGACCCAGCAACGCCGCGUGAAGGAAGAAGGCUUUCGGGUUGUAAACUUCUUUUCUCAGGGACGAAGCAAGUGACGGUACCUGAGGAAUAAGCCACGGCUAACUACGUGCCAGCAGCCGCGGUAAUACGUAGGUGGCAAGCGUUAUCCGGAUUUACUGGGUGUAAAGGGCGUGUAGGCGGGAAAGCAAGUCAGAUUUUAAAGCCAUUGGCUCAACCUGUGGCCUUCAUUU